CAGGGGACCACUGGCUCGGUAAGAUCUUUAAAAUGCAGUGAUAUCAUACCUGUCUAGGAGAACUUUCUCUCACUGCCAUUCUAGGAGGGAGGCUCACAUACAUUGUCUCCAGGAGGCCCUCCCCGCUGUCUUUUAAAAUGUCCACGUUUUACAGGAGGGGACAGCAGCAGAUGGAACUAACAAACACAGUAGGAUGGCUUGACGUCUCAUUUGCUUGAUGACACUUGCCAAGCCAGAGAACUGUGAGCAGACAAAUGUAAUGAAUGACUAAGGAGAUGCAGGGCUUCAUAUGUUGAGAAAAUAUUUUCGUGCAUUAUGUCAUUGAAUUCUCCCAACAGCCUUGUGACGUAAGUACAGUUUGGAUUCCCAUUUUACAGAUGAGAAAGCUGAAAACUCAAGUAGGAACUCAAGAUCCCACAGCCAGUAAGUGGCAGAACUGAGAUUCAAUUUCAGGUCUUCAGGAGAAGGGCGGGGGGUGGUGGUGGAGGGAAGUGUCCAGGUCCUCUUCUCUGUUGGACAGUAGAUUCAAGCACAUUAGAAGAGGUCUUAUGGAGAAGCAUAAAAUGAAAUAAUUUUUCUGUGUUGGCUGUAACUCCUCCUCCAUGACAGCUAUACUUCAGUUGUGUCACCAACGAAAACAGAGGCUGUAUCUCAUUCAUCUUUGUCUUCCCAAGGCCUCCUGUGUGCCUGGCACAGAACAGGCACUAGUGUGUGUGUUUGCUGAAUGAAAGGGUAUUUGAGAGUUUCUGUGCUGUACGCUGCUAUAUGGAAAUACAUGCCAGAUAUUAAAAAAAAAAAAAACAUGAUCAAGACUAGGAGGCACUUUGCCAAAUGCAGAGGCCUGAAAUCUCCAAAAAAGAGCCCUUUGGACUGAGUUCAGAGCCCAGUGCUUAGCCCUGCCUGCCCAGGUUGGAAGGAAGGGGGCUAGGAAGAAUGGAAGUUAGUGUGAAUUAGACAUGAGGACAAGUGGCCCGUUUUGUUUUUACCAAGUUAUUGGUACAGCCAUCAGAAAGUGUCUUCUGGGAAAAAGAGAAUCAAAGGUUGAAGGUUUAAAUACUGCCUAAUGUUUCCAGGGGAAACAAAAUGUAGAUUGAUUUGGAAUGGCCGCAUAAAUGUGCUCUGCACUGACUUAAUAUUUAUUUAGCUAAUCCCCUAGAGUUGGAUGUUGUUUCCAGUUUUAUUCCUAAAAUGAAUACUAUGGUGAACAUUCUAAAAUAUAAAUUUUGGGGUUCAUCUCUGAUUAUUUCCUUGGGAAAAAUUCUGAAAGCGAAAGUAUUGCGUCAAAGGAUAUUGACAUUGGUAGGGGUCACCUGCUUAUCUAUAUGGCCUCUUCCACCUAUUUGAGAUGCAGUUUUCUUAUCAAUAAGAUGAGGUUGAUUGUGGGGAAGAAAUGAGAGACUGUGUGUUAAAGUAUUUAACAAACUGUAAAGCCCCAAACCAGUACCUGGUUAUUGGAUAUCAGUUACCUUUUUUUUUUUUUUUUGAGAUGGAGUCUCACUCUUUCCACCAGGCUGGAGUGCAGUGGCAUGAUCUUGGCUCACUGCAGCCUCCACCUCCCUGGUUCAAGUGAUUCUCCUGCCUCAGCCUCCUGAGUAUCUGGGAUUGUAGGCACCUACCACCACACCUGGCUAAUUUUUGUAUUUUUGGUAGAGAUGGGGUUUCAUUUUCAACAUUUUGGCCAGGCUGGUCUCAAACUCCAGACCUCAGGUAAUCCACCCACCUCAGCCUCCCAAAGUGCUGGGAUUACAGGCGUGAACCACCACGCCCGGCCAGACAUCCAUCACCUUUACUUAUGUGCUUUAUCAAGCGGCAAGACUGGGUUUUGCUCAGAUCAUUUGUCCCGAUGAGGCCAGAGUCACACCCUGCUCCCACGUGAACAAGUCGGGCAGCUCUCCAGCCAUCUUGCUUAUGUCUAAAUCAGGCCAUAAAAGAGUGUGAAUGGUUCCCUGCAGAACUGCCACCACUCCUGGGAACUAAAAAAGAAAUAGUGAGCUCACUAGUAACUGGUCUGUAAUGUCAUUCUGUCAUCUUCAGUCCUCAUGUACAGGAAAGACACGGAUGAAGGAAGUCUAGGGGUGGGGGCUGUGUUGUGACAGACCCCUAGACUUCCAUCGCUAGGGUAGAAGGAAUUUUGUGAGAGGUUUGGAAAAAUUUGAACCUCCCCCUCUUCAAACCACAGAUCUCAGAUAAAUCGCAUGAGUCUGCAUGAGGUCCCUCCUCUACCUGGGCUCUGAGUAGAAAGGUACCCUUAGAGUCUGGGAGUGCAGUGGAGUCCAGGAGGCCUUGGAGAGAAGCAGCGUGGGUUGGGUGCCUGGGUGCCAGGGUGCCAGUGGCAGGGUGGGCUGACCCCGCCCUUACCAUCCCUAGGGGCCAUGCCACUGGAGCUGGCACAGGGUCAUUCCCUACAGCGGCCACACAGUGUGGGGCUCAAGAAGUGUUUUGUUGGGAAAAUUGGGAGAUUUCUCACAUAAAGAUCCAGAGUUUUGGCAUCUUUUCAGAAAAUAAGAAGACUUGGGAACACAUGGGAAUCUGCAGUCCCACGUGGCAGCUGUCAGCUGGGGCUGGGGAGUGAGUCCUACUCCCCCAUCUUGCCACUGUCUCCACCACUCACCUACCAGGCCUGCCUGCCCCGUGUAUGUUACUUGCCCGGCCCCUGCAUGUGGUUGAGUCUGGGACCCCUGCAGGCUGGUGUCAUAAAAGGAGAGCACUCUGGAGUCAAAGCUACCAUGUUCAAAUCCUUGAUCUCCCAUAACUACUUAUAUGAGGAAGACAGGCAACUUUCUUGUGCCUCAGUUUUCCGCAGCUGUGAAAUGGAGCUAAUAGCAAUGCCCAUCAAGAGGAUGUUAGAGGAAUUAAUGAUGCAAAGCAUGUGAUGCUUCAUUAAGUGCCUCUAAUAGAUACCCAGUAAUGGAGCAGGGAGUGAGUGUUCAUCGACACCCCACUAGCGCUUUGGAGAAGCAGCCUUUACAGGGAUGAUGCCAGUAUGUUAUAGGGCAACAAUUUCUAGAAAGAUCCCAAAUCCAGCAACAGCUUAGGCUCCUUGAUAAGAGUCUGUCCUUGAUGUUUCAGGCUUCCACCCCCUUUAAAAGCUUAGUGGCCACUGACCCCAGACCCAGCUGCUGAAGGUCUUUUAUGGUCUCUUAUGGCUCAGGCCACAGAGCUCCUGCAGAAUGGGAAUUUGGACAUCUCCUCUAGCUACUUAUUAUGACUCCAGAGUGCUUUCCUUUGAUUUAUUUAUGAGACAGCGUCUCGCUUGGUCACCUAAGAUGGAAUGCAGUGGCACAGUCAUGGCUCACAGCAGCCUCUACCUUCUGGGCUCAAGUGAUCCUCCCACCUCAGCCUCCAGAGUAGCUGGGGCUACCGGUGUGCCCUACCAUGCCUGGCUAAUUUUUUUAUUUUUUGGUUGAGAUGGGGUCUCUCUAUAUUGCCCAGGCUGGUCUCAAACUCCUGGGCUCAAGCCAUCCUCCCGCCUCAGCCUCCCAAAGUGCUGGGAUUACAGGCAGGAGCUACUACACCCAGCCUGGACAUCUCCUCUAAAAGGGUAACGUUGCUGGGAUUAGCAUGUGCGAGGCACACUGAUAAUGAUGACAGUGAACACAAAUUAAGUCUGUGCUGUGUGCCUGACCCUGCUCUAAGGCCUCGACCUGCAGCAUCUCAUUCGCACUAUAAGGCUGAUUUUGUGUUGGUGCCCACUUUAUAAAUGAAGUGUCUGAGGCACAGGGGAGGUCAGGAGCUUCACUAAAGUCACGACUAGGCCGGGUGCGGUGUAAUCCCAGCACUUUGGGAGGUCGAAGCAGGUGGAUCACUUGAGGUCAGGAGUUCGAGACCAGUCUGGCCAAUGUGGUGAAACCCCAUCUCUACUAAAAAUACAAAAAUUAGCUGGAUGUGGUGGUGCAUGCCUGUGAUCCUAGCUACUCUGGAGGCUGAGGCAGGAGAAUCACUUGAACCCAGGAGAUGAGGUUUUCAGUGAGCCGAAGUUGAGCCACUGCACUCCAGCCUGGGCGACAGGGUGAAACUCUGUCUCAAUAAAUAAAUAAAUAAAUAAAUAAAUAAAUAAAUAAAUAAAAAGUCACGACUGUAAAUGGCAGAGCUGAAUAUCCAUAGUGAUGAUCUAGUUGGAGACUCAGCCCUAUUGCCCUCUAGGCCACACUUUUUGGGCGCACACAUCCAGCUGCAAGCUCUCCCCACCUCCCCCAGGCCUCAUUGUGUUCGAUUGAAAUAGACCCCUCCAGUGAGAAUGUCUCUGUAGAACUCAGGACUAGGGGUUCCUGGAGCCGGGGGAAUCCUUGGCCUUGGCUGUGGAGGAGGAGUGCUCCCUGGGGAGAUCUGGUGGCUAUACCACUCCCCCUUACCGUGCCCCACUUAAACCCACCACUCAACAGUGAGGAAAUAUUUCCCGACUCCUGUUUCGGAGGUGGGGGUGAGGGGCAAGACCUAAAAUGGGCCUGGUCAUUUGCAUAUAUAGAAUCUUUCUUAUUUGUGUUUGAGUGAACGAGUCUAUGUAGGUAAUGAACAUUCAGACAAAAAGGUGCAGGUGCUGUCUGCAGUGGGGUGACAUGAGUCAAGGAGCUAGCCUCGGUGAUGGUGGCCUUAAGGUCUUGCCUCUGAAUCCCCAGGUAUUUUCUUGACCUUCCUUCUCCCAGAGCAGCCAGCUCCUAGGUCCUUUGUCUGCACAGCAGGUGCUAGUGCUUUCGUGGGUACUGCCUGGUCCCGGCCCAGGCCUGGCUCUGGGUGAAUGAUCCAGUCCUGGGACUGCAGCUCCCUUUUUGCAGCUUCUUGUGGGAGGGUGUACUACAAUCUUUAUCCCAAGCUCCUCAAGGUCACUGGAUCCCCACUUGUGCAUGGGGAUAAUCUGCAUGCUUCCCUGCCUGGCAGGGGCUGCCACCUGCAGAGAUCAGGUGACUGGGUGGAUGUGCCAUGCUAUUUAAAUUGCUAAGUAAUUCCUCUAAUUCCCCUUCCACCUCCCCACCCCUGUAUCCUUGACAUGGGGAGGCCAGGCCAGGCCCUGGGGCCCAUUUGGUACAGAGUGGCCAGACAGGAAGAGGGGGGAGCCCCCCACCCCGGGUUUUAUCUUGCUGGUGACUGUAAGUGGUGGUGCCAGUUUGGGGAGGGGGAGCAAUGUGAAAGGGAAAUGGCUCCCUCCAGACAGAGACGUCAGCGGCUCAGGAGCCAGGGCAGCCAGUGCGGUUGCUAGGGACUCCCCAGACAGGAAGGAGAAGACCGACGGGAGGGAGGGUGAGGAAGUGCAGGCGACGCUGUGGCCCUGGACCAGGGCCCCUUCCCUCCUGCGUCUCCACCCCUUAGAGGAGGUGUCUGUCAGACACUGUCCCGUGUGCCUGUGCCAUCAGCAACACCCCAGACAUGAGUGUGCAGUGAUAACUGGAGUGUCACUUCCCUCCUUGUCAGAGCCCCAGCCACUGCGGUCACAUUAUUUAAAAAGCUGGGCUGGCAUCUCCACCACUCGAGAGCCUCCCCAGGAAAGGAGGAAAAGAGCUUCAUCCUUCCCUCCUUACCCAGCCCUACCCCCUUCCCUUCACACGUGCCCCUGAGCACAGACUGUGACUCUCAGCAGUCCCAUCGGGUGGGUGGGCUCAGUGUGGCCUUGGAGGGCCGGGUGGAGGCUUGGGGGCAGGGGGUGGGACCUCUCUAUGUGGGGAGCCUUACAGCUACUGUGCUGGUGGACAAGGGGGAGCCCUGAGGGGUGGGCCUUUUCCCUGGAAGUCUGGUUCUUCUACCCAAGGAAGUCUGUUCUGAAACCUCGGAGGACCCUAGCUGAUGUAUCUCUUGGCCUCCUUGGCCUCACUGACUUGUUGGCAGCCAAACUGCCAGAUCCGGGCUCCCCUGGCUGGAGAGGGUCCCAUACUGGCAUAAUGGUCUCUUUUCUGGAGACUGGAGGCUGAGGGAAGCCUGGGGGUCAGCUGUUCUUGACCUUACCCCCAGCAGCCUCCAGGCUCCCAGGCAUCGGGAAACACUGCCUGUUCUCUCCUCUGCCAUUUCUGGGCUGGGUGCUGGAAAGUGCGUUCUGGGGAGGAAGACUGUCUGGGUACCUGGAAACCUGUACUGACUAGGUGUGGAGCUGGCAGGAAAGAGAAGACUUGGAGGAGGACCCGGCCCCUCUGUGCAUGCCCCAGCCACAGAGCUACAGCAAGACCUGUUCCAAAAUAUGUCCUUCUGGCCUGCUACCGCUGACUGACUCCUUGACAGUUCAAGUUGGUGCUCUGGAAGGCAUGGCGAAUAUGCCCAUGAUACUGGGUGGGUCCCCUACCAAGGAUGCUCACCCCCCUCAGGACCACUCCCAAAGCCUAGGGCACCACCUGAGAAGAUGGGACCCCGGAUAUACCAGCUUUGAUCCGGCGCUUGAACCAGAGCAAACUUCAAACCUAAAAUAACCCCAAUAUUAUAUUCUUAAGUCUUGAAACUAAUGAAUAUUUAAAAUUUAAAAUAGUCAGUGAAUUAACCUAUGUUUUUCUGAAGUUAUUAAAGAAGCAUAAAAUUGGAACAUCAGCAUACACUCUGAAUGAGGAAUGCUGUUAAGUCCCAGGAGGGAAGGAAUGGCUGGGCUGGGGCCCUGGCAAGAGUCUUCGAAUGAGUGGGGUGCCAAGAAAGGAAGCUCAAGUG
rnacentral:lncRNA from 10 species